rnacentral:rRNA from 1 species
AGGACUAACGCUGGCGGCGUGCCUAACACAUGCAAGUCGAGCGGGGUAGCAAUACCCAGCGGCAGACGGGUGAGUAACGCGUGGUCAACCUUCCGUUGAAUGGGGGAUAACUAGCCGAAAGGUUAGCUAAUACCGCAUACGAUCUUUUGAAGGCAUCUUUAAAAGAUGAAAGGAGCAAUUCGUUCAACGACGGGACCGCGUCCCAUUAGCUAGAUGGUGGGGUAAUGGCCUACCAUGGCAACGAUGGGUAGCUGGUUUGAGAGAGCGACCAGCCACACUGGGACUGAGAAACGGCCCAGACUCCUACGGGAGGCAGCAGUGAGGAAUUUUCCGCAAUGGGCGAAAGCCUGACGGAGCGACGCCGCGUGUGGGAAGAAGGCCUUCGGGUCGUAAACCACUGUCGAAGGGGACGAUAAUGACGGUACCCUUGGAGGAAGCCCCGGCUAACGUACGCGCCAGCAGCCGC